rnacentral:tRNA from 1 species
GGGUCGGCCCGCCUACUGGAGUGAGGCAACGGUCUGUAAAACCGCCGCGAUCGCGUUGUAGGUUCGACUCCUACCCGACCCA